rnacentral:rRNA from 1 species
ACACUCCUGCGGGAGGCAGCAGUGGGGAAUUUUACGCAAUGGGGGAAACCCUGACGUAGCGACACCGCGUGAGCGAAGAAGCCCUUUGGGGUGUAAAGCUCUGUCAGCUGGAACGAAAACAAUGACGGUACCAGCAGAGGAAGCAUCGGCUAACUACGUGCCAGCAGCCGCGGUAAGACGUAGGAUGCGAGCGUUGUCCGGAUUUAUUGGGCGUAAAGAGUUCGUAGGUGGUUUGUUAAGUUUGGUGUUAAAGAUCGGGGCUCAACCCUGGGACUGCACUGAAUACUGGCAGACUCGAGUGUGGUAGAGGCUAGUGGAAUUCCCAGUGUAGCGGUGAAAUGCGUAGAUAUUGGGAAGAACACCGGUGGCGUAGGCGACUAGCUGGGCCAUAACUGACGCUGAGGAACGAAAGCCAGGGGAGCGAAUGGGAUUAGAUACCCUAGUAGUCCC